AACGAACGCUGGCGGCAGGCCUAACACAUGCAAGUCGAGCGCGCCCUUCGGGGUGAGCGGCGGACGGGUGAGUAACGCGUGGGAACGUGCCCUUUUCUACGGAAUAGCCUCGGGAAACUGAGAGUAAUACCGUAUACGCCCUUUGGGGGAAAGAUUUAUCGGAAAAGGAUCGGCCCGCGUUGGAUUAGGUAGUUGGUGGGGUAAUGGCCUACCAAGGCGACGAUCCAUAGCUGGUUUGAGAGGCUGAUCAGCCACACUGGGACUGAGACACGGCCCAGACUCCUACGGGAGGGAGCAGUGGGGAAUCUUAGCCAAUGGGGGCAACCCUGAUCUAGCCAUGCCGCGUGAGUGAUGAAGGCCUUAGGGUUGUAAAGCUCUUUCAGCUGGGAAGAUAAUGACGGUACCAGCAGAAGAAGCCCCGGCUAACUCCGUG
rnacentral:rRNA from 1 species